GAUGAAUAGUUUACUUUGAAGAUCUAAUCCUCCCAGUGAAUCAUUUGAUAAUUGAUUCAUUAAUGUUUUGUCUUUCUAUUUUAUAACUGUUUGAAUUUUCUGCUUCCAAGGCAAUAAUCACCAACACACUAGUGGAGAGAGAAAGCCCCACUAUGUUAUCUGAGUCACACACUAGUGGAGAGAGAAGGAAAGGCCCCACUAUGUUUAUCUGAGUCACACACUAGUGGAGAGAGAAGGAAAGGCCUCACUAUGUUAUCUGAGUCACACACUAGUGGAGAGAGAAGGAAAGGCCUCACUAUGUUAUCUGAGUCACACUAGUGGAGAGAGAAGGCCCCACUAUGUUUAUUUAAGUCACACUAGUGGCGAGAGAAAGCCCCACUAUGUUUAUCUGAGUCACACUCUAGUGGAGAGAGAAAGAAAGUCCCCACUAUGUUUAUCUGAGUCACACUCUAGUGGAGAGGAGAGAAAGCCCCACUAUGUUUAUCUGAGUCACACUCUAGUGGAGAGAGAAAGCCCCACUAUGUUUAUCUGAGUCACUAGGGAAGAAACACUUGGGAAAUUCCACUGCAAUUUGUGGCAUGAAUUUUAUCGCCACAAAAAGAUUCCAGUGUUUCCAUCAGAGUGGUAGUGAUUUAAAUAUACGGUAUGACUUUAUUCAUUAUAACUGGCUGUUUUUCCUUUCAAGCCUGUCAGUCAAGCCAGACUGAUUCAACACUCUGAACACUCUUAGAGCCACUUCACACGAACUACACCUUACAACUACACCUAAAAAAUAUCCUUCUGCUAAACAUAUUACUCAAAUGUAAACUAGCGGACUUGCUACGUCUCAACCAGUACCUCCAGAGGCAGUGCUCGAUACCCAUGCUGAUAGUUAA
rnacentral:lncRNA from 1 species